rnacentral:rRNA from 1 species
AGUCGAGCGAGCUGAAUUCAAAGAUUCCUUCGGGGUGAUUUGUUGGACGCUAGCGGCGGAUGGGUGAGUAACACGUGGGCAAUCUGCCCUAAAGACUGGGAUACCACUUGGAAACAGGUGCUAAUACCGGAUAACAACAUGAAUCGCAUGAUUCAAGUUUGAAAGGCGGCGUAAGCUGUCACUUUAGGAUGAGCCCGCGGCGCAUUAGCUAGUUGGUGGGGUAAAGGCCUACCAAGGCAAUGAUGCGUAGCCGAGUUGAGAGACUGAUCGGCCACAUUGGGACUGAGACACGGCCCAAACUCCUACGGGAGGCAGCAGUAGGGAAUCUUCCACAAUGGACGCAAGUCUGAUGGAGCAACGCCGCGUGAGUGAAGAAGGUUUUCGGAUCGUAAAGCUCUGUUGUUGGUGAAGAAGGAUAGAGGCAGUAACUGGUCUUUAUUUGACGGUAAUCAACCAGAAAGUCACGGCUAACUACGUGCCAGCAGCCGCGGUAAUACGUAGGUGGCAAGCGUUGUCCGGAUUUAUUGGGCGUAAAGCGAGCGCAGGCGGAAUGAUAAGUCUGAUGUGAAAGCCCACGGCUCAACCGUGGAACUGCAUCGGAAACUGUCAUUCUUGAGUGCAGAAGAGGAGAGUGGAAUUCCAUGUGUAGCGGUGGAAUGCGUAGAUAUAUGGAAGAACACCAGUGGCGAAGGCGGCUCUCUGGUCUGCAACUGACGCUGAGGCUCGAAAGCAUGGGUAGCGAACAGGAUUAGAUACCCUGGUAGUCCAUGCCGUAAACGAUGAGCGCUAGGUGUUGGGGACUUUCCGGUCCUCAGUGCCGCACCAAACGCAUUAAGCGCUCCGCCUGGGGAGUACGACCGCAAGGUUGAAACUCAAAGGAAUUGACGGGGGCCCGCACAAGCGGUGGAGCAUGUGGUUUAAUUCGAAGCAACGCGAAGAACCUUACCAGGUCUUGACAUCCUGUGCUACACCUAAAGAUAGGUGGUUCCCUUCGGGGACGCAGAGACAGGUGGUGCAUGGCUGUCGUCAGCUCGUGUCGUGAGAUGUUGGGUUAAGUCCCGCAACGAGCGCAACCCUUGUCUUUAGUUGCCAUCAUUAAGUUGGGCACUCUAAAGAGACUGCCGGUGACAAACCGGAGGAAGGUGGGGAUGACGUCAAGUCAUCAUGCCCCUUAUGACCUGGGCUACACACGUGCUACAA